GCCCGCCUAGCUCAAUCGGAUAGAGCGUCAGACUUUUACGAGCCUGAUCCAUAAGGCGGGAGUGACAUCUGAAGGCUGCGAGUUCGACCCUCGCGGUGGGCU